UGGAUAUUAAAUAGAUAUUUUAUUAUAGUUAUUAUUGUUAUAUUAUAUUUUAUAUGUAGCAGCCCCAAUUUGACCGGGCUAAAAUUGGAUAAAUAAAUAGUCCAUUACAGUCCAGUUUACAAAGGCCCAAAUACCAAAACCCAACACCCGGUUACAACCCAAUUAGCCUAAACCUUUGGCCCAAAAUUUACCCAACCUAAAUGAGGCCCAAUGCCUAAACAGAAUUUGGAAACCCUAGGUUUCCAGAUGCUUCGCGCCGUAAUCACCCCAGCAGUCACGCCCCUUCAACUUCUGUCGUUCCAUCUGCCCCAAUCGACGCCAUGAUUCCCGGCUUCGAAUCUGGCCGUAGUUGAAGCCGAAGGAAAGCAGAUCAGGGCCAGCACCGUCGCCAUCAGGGCCUGAUCAUCUGGAUUCGCUGAUUUCCAUGCGAGACACCUGCAAAAUAAAAAAAACACAACAAAAAAAUAAAGGCAAAAUAUGGAAAGAAAUCAAAGGAUUUCUUUCCCAAACUGUAAAUCACUUACAAAGGGUUAUAAAAACUCGUCUUUUUCUGAUUUGUAACACACAUUUUUGGAGGAGAAAAACUGAUAUAUAAUAAAACACAGUGAUUUAUCGAAGCACAGAGGUAAUAUUAAUUUUAUUUUUUUAUAUAUAACAUGCAAAUAUCAUUAAAAUAGAUGAGGAUAGAUUUUACCAUUAAAUUUCUUCAGGGUUUUGAGACGUUUCGAACUCUAACCGCCGUACGUGGUGGCGUUGACGAUGGCGCGUGGGCGCGUGGGCGCGUGGGCGCGUGGGCGCGUGGGCGCGUGGGCGCGUGGGCGCGUGGGCGCGUGGGCGCCCAAUGAUCGGAGCGUGGCCGGACAGAGGCCAUAGCCCAGAGGGCCUCUCCAUUUCUCCCUUUCAGAGAAUUCUCUGAGAUUUUUUUUUAAC
rnacentral:lncRNA from 1 species